AUGCAUAGGAGAUCUGGAGUUAGCUCUGAGGACCACGGGCAUCUUCAGCCAUCACAUCAAGGUUCACUUCUGAGAAGUGGGACUAUCCAUCCCAGUGCACCCCAGGAGCAGAGGCAGAGGCAGAGACAGAAGCAGGGAAGCAAAGCAGUGCCUGCUGACUUCCAACAGUUGAAGGAUGCAAGGACUGGAGUGAACGUGCAACACAGUGGACCCCUGACUGUCCAGAGAGAGAGUCUGACCAAAUCUGUCCUUCUGAAAGGACAAAACAGCAAAGCUGAGGACAAGGGUCACUGUCCCAGUUUGGACUGCAUUCACAGCAUAAAGGACCAGAAAGUUGUAAAGGGAUCCUAACACUCCCUAAUUUUAACACCAGAAAGAAUAAACAUGAAAACCUUCUGAGAACUCUUCUUGUA
rnacentral:lncRNA from 1 species